GAGUCAAACUUUUUAUCUAUUAAAUAAAUAAAAUUAGAAUUGUCAUUUUUUUGGGGUCAAACUAGAUCCUUAUAUUUUGGCAUUUUAAACGCCACUUAACUUAAUUUAGAUAUAUUUAAUUUUGUGAUUGAUCUAUAAAUAUACUUCUCGGUCUUUCUUAAUUUUAAAACACUAUUAGUUCAUUAUUUAAUUUAUUCUGUCAGAAAAAAAAAAUAAGAUGAAAAUUUAUUAUCGAUCAUCGCUUAUUGGUCUCGUCAUGCUCACAAUUCUUCUGCUUGGAGUAGUGGCGAAUGCUCAAAAAGGAGGACCAGUCCGAAAACAAUGUGUUGAACAAUACCCCGACCCAAAUGGAAAAUGUCUUAUCGACAAAUGUAAAGCCCAAUGUGCCAAAACAGAAAAGGAGGGCUAGCUAGAUGCAUUGAUACUGGCAAAGGACACAUGCAAUACAGAUGCGAUUAUCAUUGUUGAUUUUUAUCUACGUUGAAACUCAAAUAAUAUUUAUAAUAAUACAAUAAUACAGCCUCAUUAUCAAUGAAUAGAAUUUAAAUAUUAAUAAUUUUGUUGGUGAUUGAUGUGUAAUAAGGUGUACUAGAUUACUAAAUAUAAAUCCAAAUUCACAUAUUUCUGUCUUUUUGUACAAUAACGUAAAAUAACCGAAAAAAAUUAAAUGAGAAUUAGCAGUUAUUUCAUAUA